GACGAACGCUGGCGGCGUGCUUAACACAUGCAAGUCGAACGGAAAGGCCCUGCUUUUGUGGGGUGCUCGAGUGGCGAACGGGUGAGUAACACGUGAGUAACCUGCCCUUGACUUUGGGAUAACUUCAGGAAACUGGGGCUAAUACCGGAUAUGAGCUCCUGCUGCAUGGUGGGGGUUGGUAAGUUUCGGCGGUUGGGGAUGGACUCGAGGCUUAUCAGCUUGUUGGUGGGGUGGUGGCUUACCAAGGCUUUGACGGGUAGCCGGCCUGAGAGGGUGACCGGCCACAUUGGGACUGGGAUACGGCCCAGACGCAUACGGGAGGCAGCGGUGGGGGAUAUUGCGCGAUGGGCGGAAGCCUGAUGCAGCAACGCCGGGUGCGGGAUGACGGCCUUCGGGUUGUAAACCGCGUUCGCCUGUGACGAAGCGUGAGUGACGGUAAUGGGUAAAGAAGCACCGGCUAACUACGUG
rnacentral:rRNA from 1 species